CCCCGCCGAGAGCGAGGCCGAGUCGCCCUCCCCACUCCACGCCCCCUUUCUGGCUCCUUGGAGAGGCUCGGAAACACUCUACGGUUACGGGUGAAAGUAACCAGAUAUGUGGAAUCUUUAACUUCCUGGCCCUGCGACUGGCACACCAACAUACAGUAAACACUCGUUGAACUGAAGUUGUCAUUGAUAUUUUUUUCUAAAGUCAACAAGCAAAAUGCCUUAAGUGACUCCAAACUCUGUUGCCAUGGCCUUUCCUUCUGCUUUUGCUCUGAUCGGAUCCCUUUCACUUCUUGGUUGCCAAUGCUUGGAUUGCACAUUUUCCAUGAACAUUUUUGAAGACCUCUCAGAAUUGCCUAUCUUUGUCACUAGACUGUGAAGUUAACAAGAGGAAGGAUUCAUCUUUGCAUAGCCAGAGUACAACAGAAGAUUUGAAAGCCGUAUGAUUAAAGAAGGAACUCAAUGAUGUCAGACUUUCUGAACAUGGUCUCAAGCAAUGGCAGCCUAUAUUUCAGAUUAAAGGAAGGAUCCAUAUGUUUUGGCAAUUAAACUUAGAUAACAAAGUUAAUGAUCUAUUUAAAAUGGAUAAUGUACAGUGUCAUAUAGAAACAACCAUGUGUAAAUGUUAGAUAUUUUGCUUAUUUUAUUUGACUGCAGAGCUCUACUUCUCUUUUUUUUUCCAUUUGUUAUAAUUAACACUGACCUUUAAUCAAGAGUAUUAACCACCACUCUGAACCAAAGUUAAAUACAUGAUAACAUUAUCUCUCUAUUGAGAAAUUAGUACACAAUAUUAGUUAAUGUAUUUGUAACAUCCUGCAAAAAUUACAUUCUUCUUAUUAGGAAAGCAAAUCAUAUAAACAUUGUGACGUCUCUUACCUCAAAAUCAAUA